rnacentral:lncRNA from 1 species
AUGGAUCACUAUUUUACCUUAUAUACAGGUCCAAAUCCACCUUCACCUAGCUUGCUUUCACAUGCGAAGUUAUCUGUGGCUGUUUUAAUCUCAUUGAAAGUGAGAUCUUGGAGAUUAGGAUACACAACUCUUUUCCCUGAAGUGGUUUCUCUUCUGACUGUUUGAAAUUAAAAUGGAAAACCUAAAAGUUAAAACUUUAGUUUUGUUGUAAAACAGAAUACUGGCAAAAAUUUGGAUGCUACCUCUUGGCAUGAUUAUUUUCCUCUUCAAGCAACAUAUUGCUGUUCCAGAUAGGAGAAUAGCUACAAACACUGUUGGCAAUACAAUAACCAGCAAUGAUUGUUUACUUUUUUGAUCUUCCUCUUCUCCUCCAGCUGCGAAUGCAGUCCUCAGAAUUAACAAUAUGUCUCAAAUCAUGUUUUGACAAGGCUUUAAAGUGUGAAUUACCUGUGACUCUACUUGUUUACUUAAAAAUGUAUUAUUAAUUUUUUUAAUAAUUUAGAAAACACUCUUUAAAGUAAAUUUGACCUAUGCGGAAGGAAUUCAUGCUUUAUCACACAUGUUUCUUUUUCAUAUUUUAACAUUGCAAUAACGGUUUACAUGUUUUUUGAAUUCAAUAGUGAUCCACAUAAGUUUAUUAUUUUCUCAGUUGUGAUACAGUUCAAAUCCAGCUGAAAUUAUUGACUUGUGUCAGCUAGAUUCAAGCUUAUCACUUUAGUAUGUUUUGAAGUCACUUGUUUAACUUACAUCUAACUUUUCCUGCAUAGCUGUCGGGAAGAAAUAAAAAAUAAUAAAAAAAUAAUAAAAUAUAUAUAUUGAAAGAGGGCAUAACCAUUCGGUUUAUUCAGAUUGUACGGUUGUGCUGACCUGCUCUAGAGAGAACCCAAUUUUCGUCAUCGUUGGGAACUUGAAACACACUGUAACCAAGAAGCCCGUUCUUCUUGGCAUAAGAAACUUUUAUCUUGACAACCUCUAUAUCGUCAAAACCAAUCCAGGAUGAUCCUAUUUUCAUGUAGUUCGUCACAUAUGUGGAGUUGAACAGUGGUUUGACACCAUAGCUUUUACAGAACCACAUGAUGUAUCUAUAGCUCAUUGAUCCAUCUGCAGUUAUGGCCAGGCCUUUUGCCGGAGAACCUAUUGUGUUGUCAUCAGGGUUUACAAGUGUCCAGGCAUAACCAUGGUAUGGCAAUCCCAGGACCAGUUUGUUGGCUGGUAAUCCUCUCUUAAUCCAUUCCUUUAUUCCAUAGUCCGUGUUUAGAUGGCUUGAUGGAUCAUAUAAUGCAGCAUGCGCUCCUGUGAAAUUAUCCUUUGAUGGCAGAUAAUAGUCAUAAGACAUGAGGUGCACCCAAUCGACAUUUCUUUUGAUGGAAUCUAUUGGGUAAGUCAUGAAGUUUUGUGUUGGUGAAUAUCGAGCUCCCAUGGUCAAGAACAGCGGUGAAGUGUUCGAAUUUUUUGGUUCAGAAUUUACUGCUUCUCGCCACUCAUCUAGAAAAGCUCCCAUAUUGGUCGUGUUGAUUGGCGUAUUUGGAAGAACACCGAAUAGAUCAAGACCUAGAAAUCCA